rnacentral:rRNA from 1 species
AAUGAACGCUGGCGGCGCGCCUAAUACAUGCAAGUCGAGCGAGAAGACGUAGCAAUACGUUUGUAAAGCGGCGAGCGGGUGAGGAAUACAUGGGUAACCUACCCUCGAGUGGGGAAUAACUAGCCGAAAGGUUAGCUAAUACCGCGUACGCUCCUUGGACUUCGGUUCAGGGAGGAAAGCGAUACCGUGGGUAUCGCGCUCUUGGUUGGGCUCAUGUCCUAUCAGCUUGUUGGGAGGU